rnacentral:lncRNA from 10 species
GACCUAGGGCCAGUCCCUGGAGAAAAGUCCCAAAGGAGCUUGGGGGAGAAAAAUCUUCUCCCCAUCACCCCCAACAACUGAGGCUGCCUGGAGGAUGACAGAACUCUGCACCUUAAUUGAAGGCACGCUGUUUGGUCCCAAGGAGACUGGCCAGCUUGAGGUGGCAUCAACACAGAAGACAAAGGCAGAGGACAAGGCUACUUUGUCUCCCUUCUUACCCUGCCAGCUGUUUACAACGAAAUUGCCCUUUACUGAAUGCACAUAGCUAUCCUGGCCCUGAGUUAAAUGUGCCAGUGAUGUGACUCCAUUGUGGUUAAAGUGAGAUUUAAACCUAAAAGCUGUGCCUCCCUCCCAAGCAUUUAUUUUUCUAGCUAGAGGGUCCUGAAUAUGUCAGUGUGAGCUUCAAACUGCUCUUUACUGAGCCUGCUUUGGGUUGCUCCCCAUGACCCCUACCCCUAUCCACUCCCUCAAACCAUCCUCAUGGAGCCAGUCUUGUUGAGGCUCUUCUUGACUGCUUACUCCAACUCAGCUUGAACAAGCAUCCCAGCGUGAA